GUGGAGGCAGAGGCCACGCUGAGAGCCAUCACCAUAGCCAGCGCUGUGAACUGUCCUCUCUACAUUGUGCAUGUGAUGAGCAAGUCUGCAGCUAAGGUGAUAGCGGAUGCAAGGAGAGAUGGGAAGGUGGUCUAUGGUGAACCCAUAGCAGCCAGUCUUGGCACAGAUGGCACUCACUACUGGAAUAAAGAAUGGCACCAUGCAGCCCACCAUGUCAUGGGUCCACCUUUGCGACCAGACCCCUCAACACCCGACUUCCUCAUGAAUCUGUUGGCUAAGUAAUCAUUUUGCAGAUGACUGGGAAGUGUAUUGCCAAAAGAAGGUUUGGGUAGAAGGGAGCUCGUCCUCCCAUCUGGAUCCUCCACUAACCUCCCAGUAUUCUCUUCUACUUGACCUGUCAGGUCCUGGGUACCCCUCACCUGCAGAGCAAAAAACAUUGACUUAAUUAUGCUGUGAUAUGUUGUCAAAGCCUUUCCUAGACUCUCAGAAAUCAGAUCGUUUUCACUGAAACUUUACUCUUUUCUGACUUUUUUCAUCUCUUGUUGCCCAAACCCAGGGCUCUUCAUUACACCUUACUUUUUAUCAGAAUAUUGUUGAAUUUUUUUCUAUGCUGAUAUAAUAUGGGAACUAGGUUAACCCUGUUACUUUCUGGGAACAUAUGAUCAUUUUUCUUGAA
rnacentral:lncRNA from 1 species